rnacentral:rRNA from 1 species
UACGUAGGGACCGAGCGUUGUCCGGAAUCAUUGGGCGUAAAGAGCUCGUAGGCGGUUCAGUAAGUCGGGUGUGAAAUCUCCGUGCUCAACACGGAGCGGCCACCUGAUACUGCUGUGACUCGAGUCCGGUAGGGGAGUGUGGAAUUCCCGGUGUAGCGGUGAAAUGCGCAGAUAUCGGGAGGAACACCAGUAGCGAAGGCGGCACUCUGGGCUGUGACUGACGCUGAGGAGCGAAAGCGUGGGUAGCAAACAGG